UGACGAAACAGUGUUAUUGCACAUUGAUUUAGGUUAAAAACCUAUUCAAAUCCCUUUGUCCCUUCUACUUUUAUUUCUUACAAAACCCCAACCCAUUUUUCACCUUCCUCAUUUUACCCUCGCCGGAACACCCCCAUCAACCACCGUCUCCACUUUUCUUCGUUCGCCGGAACUUUCCUGUUCUCCAGCCGCUCUUCUUCCGUUCAGAGACCCUCCGACAUCCGCGCCGGUCUAUCCCAACCAUCACUGUCCUGGUACCAUGGGCACCAAAAGAGCGCGUCCAACUAAUAAGGUCAGUACUUUUCGAUCUGCUGCCCCUGCUGCUAAUGUGCCUGCACCUCCUCCUCCUGAUUUGGUGGACAUAGUAGCACGUUUGGACCGUAUUGAGGCGCGCCAGCAGCGUAUUGAAGCAAGCCAACAACGCAUUGAAGCGAGCCAAGAGCGUAUUGAGACUGCCGUCCACCAGCGCUUUGAUGAGCUAUUCCGCAUUAUGGAUGGUCAAAUCCCCCAACCUCCAACUCAGUGAUUUGUCCUUUUUUUUUAGUUUGUGAAUCUCAGGGAAGUGUCGUUCUUUUUCUUUUAGUAGUUAACAUUGAAGACAAUGUGUGGUUUAAAUGUAGGUGGGGUACCAAUUAAAUCAAAAUUUUCCAAUUCAGUUGUAUUUGCACUACACUUGAUAAUUGCAAGUAAUUAGGCAAUAUAUGACUGACUUUUUGGAAUGGACUAUUAAGCUGAUAUAGUAAGAUAUGACUGACGUCUUUGCUAAUGGGUGAUUGUUUUGCUAAGCGAUAUCGUUCUAGUAUCAUAUGGCACAAUGUGAUCCUAUUUGAAAUUUAACCCUGUUCGCUUGCAUUUGUUUUUCCUGAUUUGGUCUUCAGUUUUAGUCAUAUUGUUUCUUUGGAA